CGCUGCAGACAAUAAUAAGCAGAAGAAUAAAUGUUGAAUCGAUGUUGUGUUGCUAGUUCUUGCAAGUAACUGCUUUUGAUGCUCAUACGAACAGCAAGUAUAAAUCCCUGAUUGAGAAUCGGACUAAGCACGUCAGCAAGCGACUCUGGAAACCCAAUGCAGUAACACGUGCAGAACAAACUAUUUUGCGGACUCGAGAUAAAUCACGCCCGAGACUUUGUUGUAAGAAACUUGGGGUUGCUAGAUUUUGAAUUUGUAUCGAUAUAACAAGGUCUCUACUCGUUCGUUUCUCGAUCCUUCUUAUAGCUCAUGGCAAAUAUCUUAUAUCGUGUCGUAACAUAGAAGAAGGACAAUCGGUUAAGAACAGUAUUCU
rnacentral:misc_RNA from 1 species